UACAGAGGGGGCAAGCGUUGUUCGGAAUUACUGGGCGUAAAGGGCGCGUAGGCGGCCUGCUAAGUCGAACGUGAAAUCCCUGGGCUCAACCCAGGAACUGCGUCCGAUACUGGUUGGCUUGAAUCCGGGAGAGGGAUGCGGAAUUCCAGGUGUAGCGGUGAAAUGCGUAGAUAUCUGGAGGAACACCGGUGGCGAAGGCGGCAUCCUGGACCAACACUGACGCUGAGGCGCGAAAGCUAGGGGAGCAAACGGG
rnacentral:rRNA from 1 species